UCUAAUAUGGCAGAAUAGUGCCAUGAACUUAAGCUUCAUAAAUAAAACAAAAUUUUUAUUAGAA
rnacentral:tRNA from 1 species